CGGGGUGAUGGCUGGAAAGGACAUUUUCCCAUCGUUAAAGGACAUUUCUUCGUGACCGUGGUGAUGGAUGGAAAGGACAUUUCCCUGUCAUUAAAGGAUAAAGGGUCCGGUUAGCCCUGACAAUUAUCCUUUUGGAAUUCACCAUCGCAAAGACGCUUGCCCGCUCCAUCAAAACUCUGUAAGUUUUCCCUCCAUAUGUAGAUCAACCGUCCUGCAUGUAAAUCCUGGGUAUGCCCACAUCAUUAAUUAAUAAGAUGUGUAGAAAACUGUUUAGCCAUAAGUAAAGGCCUUUCAUAAAGAGGCUGUCAUGAUUGCCUGUGCCACAUAUUUAACACGUAUUUCUUGUUACAGAAUACUAUUGUUGUACAUUUAAUAUCCACUAGCAGAUUUCGUUGCAUUUGCACAAAUUCUGUCAUGUUACUGUGGUCUUUUGAAAAGUCAAUAAAUAUGUGUGUAAAGUGUA